rnacentral:rRNA from 1 species
GACGAACGCUGGCGGCGUGCUUAACACAUGCAAGUCGUACGGUAAGGCCCUUUCGGGGGUACACGAGUGGCGAACGGGUGAGUAACACGUGAGUAACCUGCCCACAACUUUGGGAUAACGCUAGGAAACUGGUGCUAAUACUGGAUAUGUGCUCCUGCUGCAUGGUGGGGGUUGGAAAGCUCCGGCGGUUGUGGAUGGACUCGCGGCCUAUCAGCUUGUUGGUGGGGUAGUGGCCUACUAAGGCGGCGACGGGUAGCCGGCCUGAGCGGGUGACCGGCCACAUUGGGACUGAGAUACGGCCCAGACGCCUACGGGAGGCAGCAGUGGGGAAUAUUGCACAAUGGGCGCAAGCCUGAUGCAGCAGCGCCGCGUGCGGGAUGACGGCCUUCGGGUUGUAAACCGCUUUCAGCAGGGACGAAGCUUUUUGUGACGGUACCUGCAGAAGAAGCACCGGCUAACUACGUG